rnacentral:tRNA from 1 species
GCCUCGAUAGCGCAGUAGGCAGCGCGCGAGUCUCAUAAUCUCGAGGUCGUGAGUUCG